GAUGAACGCUGGCGGCGUGCCUAAUACAUGCAAGUCGAGCGAACAGACGAGGAGCUUGCUCCUCUGACGUUAGCGGCGGACGGGUGAGUAACACGUGGAUAACCUACCUAUAAGACUGGGAUAACUUCGGGAAACCGGAGCUAAUACCGGAUAAUAUAUUGAACCGCAUGGUUCAAUAGUGAAAGACGGUUUUGCUGUCACUUAUAGAUGGAUCCGCGCCGCAUUAGCUAGUUGGUAAGGUAACGACUUACCAAGGCAACGAUGCGUAGCCGACCUGAGAGGGUGAUCGGCCACACUGGAACUGAGACACGGUCCAGACUCCUACGGGAGGCAGCAGUAGGGAAUCUUCCGCAAUGGGCGAAAGCUUGACGGAGCAACGCCGCGUGAGUGAUGAAGGUCUUCGGAUCGUAAAACUCUGUUAUUAGGGAAGAACAAAUGUGUAAGUAACUAUGCACGUCUUGACGGUACCUAAUCAGAAAGCCACGGCCAACUACGUG
rnacentral:rRNA from 1 species